GUGCUGCCAAAGCAUAUAUAACUAAGAUUGGAAGGAUACAGAGAAGUUGACCAUGGUCCCAAUUCAAGGAUGACACACAGAUCUGUGAAGUAUUAUCUAGCAUG